rnacentral:rRNA from 1 species
AGUGAACGCUGGCGGUAGGCCUAACACAUGCAAGUCGAACGGCAGCACAGUAAGAGCUUGCUCUUACGGGUGGCGAGUGGCGGACGGGUGAGGAAUACAUCGGAAUCUACUUUUUCGUGGGGGAUAACGUAGGGAAACUUACGCUAAUACCCAUACGACCUACGGGUGAAAGCAGGGGAUCUUCGGACCUUGCGCGAUUGAAUGAGCCGAUGUCGGAUUAGCUAGUUGGCGGGGUAAAGGCCCACCAAGGCGACGAUCCGUAGCUGGUCUGAGAGGAUGAUCAGCCACACUGGAACUGAGACACGGUCCAGACUCCUACGGGAGGCAGCAGUGGGGAAUAUUGGACCAUGGGCGCAAGCCUGAUCCAGCCAUACCGCGUGGGUGAAGAAGGCCUUCGGGUUGUAAAGCCCUUUUGUUGGGAAAGAAAAGCAGCAGGUUAAUACCCCGCUGUUCUGACGGUACCCAAAGAAUAAGCACCGGCUAACUUCGUG